GUCUGGCUAGCUCAUUCGGUAAAGUAUGAGACUCUUAAUCUUGGGGUCGUGAGUUCAAGCCUCACGUUAGACA